CAAAAUAACAUUUUGCAGUUCUGUUGAGUGUUCAUCAUGCCUAGAGUCUUCUGACAUCUUCUUGAAAUGUUCGUGAUAUACUGACAUGAACAUUCACACAAUCUAACCAAACCAAAACAAAAAAAGAAGCCUUGAUUUGAAUGCCUACUUAGUGCCAGGCUUUAUACUAGGCACUGGCAAUGAGAGAUUUGAAAGAAAAAGCCUGCACCCAAGGAACUUUCAUUCUUCAGAGAAUGGACAAGACUAAUGGAGAAAUCUACAAGUAAGUUCAAGAUUUAAGUGGAAAAGUCGAUGCAAAGAGACAGUCCCACUCUCUCGGCGUUGGAAGCCUGGACCCAUUGGCACGAAAAGUCAUUACACCUGGAGACUUUCUCAGCUGCAUUGGAUGGCCGUGUUGUCCUUUGUGCUCCAACACGCCCUGAGCACUCCACAGUGCUUUGCUGCGUUGCCAUCUCAGCCGUUGAACCGUCUUGUUGGUUUCUUCCGCCUGUUCCGCAGAAACAAUCUUCACAUGCUGGAUCAUUUUACAGAUGA
rnacentral:lncRNA from 1 species